UACAGAGGUCUCAAGCGUUGUUCGGAUUCAUUGGGCGUAAAGGGUGCGUAGGUGGCGUGGUAAGUCCGUUGUGAAAGCCCUGGGCUCAACCUGGGAACUGCAGUGGAUACUGAGAAGCUAGAGUGUGUCAGAGGAUGGUGGAAUUCCCGGUGUAGCGGUGAAAUGCGUAGAGAUCGGGAGGAACAUCAGUGGCGAAGGCGGCCAUCUGGGACAACACUGACGCUGAGGAGCGAAAGCAUGGGGAGCAAACAGG
rnacentral:rRNA from 1 species